CGCUGGCGGCAGGCCUAACACAUGCAAGUCGAGCGGAUGAAAGGAGCUUGCUCCUGGAUUCAGCGGCGGACGGGUGAGUAAUGUCUAGGAAUCUGCCUGGUAGUGGGGGACAACGUUUCGAAAGGAACGCUAAUACCGCAUACGUCCUACGGGAGAAAGCAGGGGACCUUCGGGCCUUGCGCUAUCAGAUGAGCCUAGGUCGGAUUAGCUAGUUGGUGAGGUAAUGGCUCACCAAGGCGACGAUCCGUAACUGGUCUGAGAGGAUGAUCAGUCACACUGGAACUGAGACACGGUCCAGACUCCUACGGGAGGCAGCAGUGGGGAAUAUUGGACAAUGGGCGAAAGCCUGAUCCAGCCAUGCCGCGUGUGUGAAGAAGGUCUUCGGAUUGUAAAGCACUUUAAGUUGGGAGGAAGGGUUGUAGAUUAAUACUCUGCAAUUUUGACGUUACCGACAGAAUAAGCACCGGCU
rnacentral:rRNA from 1 species